GACGAACGCUGGCGGCGUGCCUAACACAUGCAAGUCGAGCGAAGUGCUUUUGACAGAUUCCUUAGGGAUGAAGACAAAAGUAUCUUAGCGGCGGACGGGUGAGUAACGCGUGAGAAACCUGCCUUUCACAAAGGGAUAGCCUCGGGAAACUGGGAUUAAUACCUUAUGAAACUAAACUAUCACAUGAUAGACUAGUCAAAGCGUAAAGCGGUGAAAGAUGGUCUCGCGUCCCAUUAGUUAGUUGGUGAGGUAGAGGCUCACCAAGACAUCGAUGGGUAGCCGGCCUGAGAGGGUGACCGGCCACACUGGAACUGAGACACGGUCCAG
rnacentral:rRNA from 1 species